rnacentral:rRNA from 1 species
AAUGGGAUUCCUUAAGUAAUUGCGAAUGAACAAGGACAUGCUUAGCUUGACAAUUGGAGCCUCUGGCUUCGACUUGUAUUUUUGAAAUGUAUUACCAACAGAGGUGCAGGUGUCAGCCUAUUGAAAGAAAGCGUCAAUGAGGGUGAGAAUCCUGUUUGUCAUGUGCAAUCCUCUGUGCACGGUGUAUGUUUGCUGAGUCACACUCCUUGGCAUUGGAAUGCAAAGUGGGUGGUAAGUUUCAUGUAAAGGUAAAUAUAGGAUUGAGACUGAUAGCACACAAGUACCAUGAGGGAAAUAUGAAAAGGACUUUGAAAAGAGAAUUAAAUGAGUUUGUAUUUGCUGAACAGAAAAUAAACAGAUUUGAUGUUGCUUGGUGAGAUUGUGGUGCUUGCUUGACAAUAGGUUUUGAUUGUGGGUGUGAUGAUUCUUGCUUUGCUUGCCAGUUUCUAUUUGUACAUUUGAUUACCCUUGCACAUGAAUGGUAAUUUUCCUGCGGGGUUUGGAUUGCAUGUGUUUGUGAUGAUUUGUGUUUUGAUACAUGUGUCUGGUGCUUUUGUAAUUGCUCAUUUCUUGAAGCUGGGCCUACCCUACUAGAGCUUACAAGCCCUGGCACACAAUUGCUGGCAAAAUGCUUCUGCUUGACCCGUCUUGAAAU